rnacentral:rRNA from 1 species
UAUCUCUGUAGAGUCUGCAUAUCAAUAAGCGGAGGAAAAGAAACUAACUAGGAUUCCCUCAGUAACGGCGAGUGAAGCGGGAAGAGCUCAAAUUUGAAAUCUUCAAGGUUUUACCUUGACGAAUUGUAGUUUAAAGAAGUGUUUUCUGUUGAAGUUUUGGUAAAAGUUCUUUGGAAUAGGACAUCAUAGAGGGUGAGAAUCCCGUAUUUGACCGUUACUUUCCAGCUGUUGUGAUACACUUUCAAAGAGUCGGAUUGUUUGGGAAUGCAGUCCAAAAUGGGUGGUAAAUUUCAUCUAAAGCUAAAUAUUGGCGAGAGACCGAUAGCGAACAAGUACCGUGAGGGAAAGAUGAAAAGAACUUUGAAAAGAGAGUUAAACAGUACGUGAAAUUAUCAAAAGGGAAGCGUUUGACACCAGUGUUGUUUUCUCGAAAAUCAAUUAAAAAGUGAUGGGAUUUUGUAUUGUUAUGACCUUAUCAGCUUACUGUACUUUUUUCUUACUCUUUUUAAUGCACUUUUCGUUUAACAAGUCAACAUCAAUUUCUUUUGUUGUAAAAGAGUCAUUGGAAGGUGGCUUUCACUUCGGUGAAAGUGUUUAUAGCCUUUGGCUUCUGCAAUCGGAGAGAUUGAGGUCUGCAGCGUAGAUCCUUCGGGGUUAGAUACGUAGAUGCUAAGUUAUAGUUUUUCAUAGACAACUUGUUGACUAUGAUUAAUCAUGUAGCUUACUCGUUUGCGCUAUUUUACCUACGCUUAGGAUGUUGAUCUCUCACAGUCGAGC